rnacentral:rRNA from 1 species
CGCGAAACCUUUACAAUGCACGAAAGUGUGAUAAGGCAACUCCUUGUGCUUACCCACAAGGUAGGCUUUUUUAGUAUGUAAUGUAUACUAAGAAUAAGUGAUGGGCAAGACCGGUGCCAGCAGCCGCGGUAAUACCGGCGUCACAAGUGGAGAUCACGAUUACUGGGUCUAAAGUGUUCGUAGCUGGUUGUAUAAGUUUCUUGUGAAAGUUCUGUAGCUUAACUCAGAAUUGCAAGAAAUACUGUACGACUUGAGACCGGAAGAGGUGUAAAGUAUGAAUUGGGUAGCGGUAAAAUGCUAUAAUCCUUUUCAGACUAACUAAGGCGAAGGCAUUACACUAAGACGGAUCUGACAGUGAGGAACGAAAGCUGGGGGAGCGAACCGGAUUAGAUACCCGGGUAGUCCUAGCUGUAAACGCUGCGGGUUACGCUUUGCUAAAUCUUUGGGAUUUAGCAGGGGGGAAGCGAAGGCAUUAAACCCGCCACCUGGGAAGUACAGCCGCAAGGCCGAAACUUAAAGGAAUUGCCGGGGGAGUACUACAAGCGGUGCGGCGUGCUGUUUAAUUGAAUUCUACACCGAAAACCUCACCAGGGGCGACAGCAGAAUGAAGGUCAGAUUAAAGGUUUUACCUAACACGCUGAGAGGUGCUGCAUGGCCGCCAUAAGCUCGUGCUGCAAGGUGUCCUCUUAAGUGAGGAAACGAGCAAGACCCAUACCUAUAAUUGCUAAUCCAGUCGUUGGAUGCACCUUAUAGGGACUGCCUUGGAAACAAGGAGGAAGGUGUGGGCCAUGGCAGGUCUGUAUAGCCCGAAUCUCCUGGGCUACAAGCGCGCAACAACGAAUAGGACAAUGGGAUGCAACUCCGAAAGGAGAAGCCAAUCUCCAAACCUAUUCUUAGUUUAGAUUGAGGUUUGCAACUCAACCUCAUGACACUGGAAUCGCUAGUAACCGGACGUUAUCAGCGUCCGGUGAAUAUGUCCAUUCUCCUUGGACACACUGCCCGUCAAAUCAACCAAGUAAGGUUGAGACAAGGUGCCUUCUUUUGGAGGUAUCGAGUCUGAGCUCUGUGAGGGGGAUUAAGUCGUCACAAGGUAUCUGUAGGGGAACCUGCAGAUG